UCUUAGUCUUUAUCCUAGUUAUUGGUGCCUGCCCUAGCCCAGACAGAGAUUUGAAGAAUGGGGGUUAGGAUCCUUGAUGCCCCCAGUAGACAAAGAGCAGUAUAGCAAUGACAAUGACAAUAGCGAUAACAAUAAAAUAGCGAUAGUUUAGUAAAGAACUGUUAAAUAGUAAUAGUAAUAGCAAAUACAAUUUCUAUUUGAAUCGCUGUCUUUGUCUACAUUCGUUUUUUGCUCAUGUUCCUUCAUCUCCUGUGUUCAUGCUUCCGUACGAAAAGACCUGCAACGCUUCCGGCCCAUCGGACGCUGCAUUUUACUUUUUUAGAUGGAGCUCUGAUCGUCCAUCUCUCCCAUUCCUCCCGGCUACUAAACCCGGAGUUAAGAUAAAGGUGCGCCUGCUAUCCGAAGAAAAUAAACUCUGCGUAACCGAAGCAACAAUGGUCGUGGUAGCAAAAGGAGUAUAGGGUGAAAAGAGAAAAAGAUAAAAGAGAGAAGAGAGGAGAGGCGAGAAAGGAAACAAGAAUUAUAAUUAAAAAAAAAAAAAAAAGAAAAAAAGAGAUUUUCUCUUAAGAAUCAAAACAUACUGAAUGCAAUUGUUUUGCCGAAUACUACGAUUUUUGACGUAUUGCACUUUUUUUGGCUUAUUGCUGGAUCAACAUGUAUAAGAGUCUAUUUAAAGGAUUUCCGUUGUAAAAAUACAACUUAUCACACUCACACGUUGACACUAAGAGAAAAAAGCUAUAGCGAACAAUGAUACACACACAUAUACAUACGCUGUUGCUAUUCACAUACGCUGCCUUGAUACACACUGUCUUGACUAUAAGGAAAAAAGGUUUGGCUUGGUCACAAGUAAAAUGUAGCGAUGACUUUCGUACUCUACUAAUGAUUGUUUAGUGAAGAAUGAUAAAAGAUAGUAGUGUGUAUUGAUUAUACUUGUAUAAUGCAGUUGAAUUUACUAUGAAUAAUUUGGAAAUUUCGCACAACUCGUUGGUCCUCUUAAAAAAGGAGAAAUUUCAGUUUGCGAAUAUUGGUUUCUCUCUCUCUUUACUUUGCUUUGCUUUGAUCUGCUCUACUAUACUCUACACCCUUGCCUUUCUGCUUUCUUUGUUUGGUUGCAAAAUUCACAGAUCGCAAUGAAAAAAUGUUUUAAACUGCGAACUAAUAAGUAGAAUUGAUUUUGCAAUGAAAAGUAAAAUUAAAUUAAAUAGAAAAAGAAAAUUUUAAAAAGAGACAAAGAAGAGUAAGGAAAAAAAAGCCCCCCCCCCCCCCCCCCC